CACAGUGGAUGACUCGGCUUGGGUUGCUGAAGAAGAACGCGGCAAGCUGCGAUAAUCUCUGGCUAGACGCAUGCGGUCAUUGAACCAGAGGUUUUCUAAUUGCUCCGGAAGGAGCGGGAACACUGUGAAGUGAAACAUCUCAGUAACAGUAGGAAAAGAAAUCAAUCGAGAUACUGCUAGUAAGGGCGACUGAAAGCAGUAUAAGACAAACCGAACGCUUUUCAGUAAUGGAGAGUGAAUGUGGUCGAAUUUUGUUUUAAUCAUCCAAAAUGAGACGAAGUGCUCUGAAAUGAGCUACAAUAUAGGGUGAAAGUCCCGUAGUCAAAAUUUUGAAUGAUGGCAGAAUUCAAGAGUAGUUGGCACCGAAACGUGCUAAUGAAUAUAGGUGCUGUUAGCAUCUAAUCUUAAAUACAAACCAAGACCGAUAGCAGAAUAGUACCGUGAGGGAAAGUUGAAAAGAACCGUGAAAAGGGGUUAAAAGCGCCUGAAACUGUGUGGUUAUAGGGAGAUACUGCUACUGACAUCUGUAAGAAAGUAAUAAUUGCAGAUUUGGUAGUAAGUAUCGGCCGUCCAGAAUCAUGGGGUGGAGAGCAUAAUUUUAUGGCAAGCCGAAAGGCACAGCGAAAGCGAAAAUAUGCAUCUGGCUUUGCCAGAGAGAUAUGUGGUGCUAAUACGCCAUUAGUCAUAGGGUUAUAACUUGAUGCCACACGAUCUAAUCCGGGGCAGGAUGAAGCCCUAGCAAUAGGGUGGAGGUCCGAAGAGAUUUCGAGCUCAGUUCAUCCUCGUGACCCUGGAAUAGGAGUGAAAUGCUAAUCGUGUGUGGGGGUAGCAAGUUCCUCUCGAAAUAGACCUUAGUCUAUUCUGACCGGAGAUUGGUUAUUGAGUAGAGCACCAAUUAGACAUUCGGGAGCGAAAGCUCUUGGUGUCUUGUUGAACUCCGAACAAAUAAUCAUCGUGGAAGGUCGGAAACGGGGCAGGGGGGUAAGCUCCUUGUCCAAAAGGAAAACAAUCCAGACUAUGGUUAAGGUCCCUAAAUUAUAACUAAGUGCAUCAAACCAGUUACAGAUCUAAAACAGCGGGAAGGUAGGCUCAGAAGUAGCCAUCCUUUAAUAAGUGUGUAACAACUUACCCGCAUAGAUUUGUGGCUAGGAAAAUGGACGGGGCUAAGCUAUAUACCGAGACCAUAGAACAUAAAAGUUGGUAGAGAGGCGUUCUGAAAGAGGAGAAGCAAUUUCAUGAGAAAUUGUGGAUCUUUUAGAAGUGAGAAUUCCACUGGCAGUAACAGCAAAGCAAGGUGAGAAACCUUGUCAUCGAAGGGGCAUGGGUUCCUUGACAAUGAUCGUCAGUCAAGGGUUAGUCGAUCCUAAGGCAAAAGUAAUUCAAUAUACCGAAAGGGAAACAGGUUAAUAUUCCUGUACCUCACAAGUACAUUUUUGGCAACAAAAGAUAUCUUUCCAACACAUACAGAUAUGUCAGGUAGAACUAAAAUUCUAUCUAAACAGUAUAGUGCUAUGGAGUAUCAUCACGAUGAGAAGUAGUAUAAACUGUGAAAGUGCUUGUAUGAGCAUCUGGCUGAUUCCGUGUGUCCAUGAAAAGGAAAGAUGUUGGAUCUUGUGUGUCCGUACUUAGAACCGACACUGGUGCCCCUGGGCGAGUAACCCAAGAUGUUGUAGGGUAACCCUGGUUAGGGAACUCGGCAAAUUAGCCCCUUUACCUUGGUAUAAGGGGUGCCUGCUAAUAACAUAGCAGGUCUCAGUAACAAAGACGGUCCGGCUGUUUAAUAAAAACACAGCUCUCCGUCAGCCAGAAAUGGUGUAUAUGGAGGGCGAUGCCUGCUCAGUGGUGGAAUCUUAAACUCCCUUAGGGAGCGAAGGACCGCUAAACAGCGGGGGUAACUAUGACCCUCUUAAGGUAGCGUAAUACCUCGCCGCUUAAUUGGUGGCUUGCACGAAAGACUUAACGAGGCCGUUACUGUCCCAACCAGGGACCUAGUGAAGCUACUAUUCCGGUGAACAAGCCGGAGACUCCCAGUGGGGCACGAAGACCCCGUGGAGCUUUACUGUAUCCUGUCGUGUGAUUAUAACUGCGAUAGCGCAGAGUAAGUGGGAGGCGUCGAAGCCGGGCUUUUGGGUCCGGCAGAGCCAAAAGUGAAACACCACUCUUUUGUCGUUAUAAUCAUUACCUUACUUUGUAAGGGACACCGAUAGGUGGGCAGUUCGCCUGGGGCGGUACACAGUUGAAAGAAUAUCGACUGUAUCCAAUGAUAUGCUCAUUCGGGACAGAACUCCGAAGUUGACGAUAAGUCGAAAAGCAUGUCUGAAUGUGUUCCGAACAAUAAGGAACACAUAAACGAAAGUUUGGACUAGCGAACCCUGAAACCUAACUAAUAUAGGUUCAGGCUGAUAGAAAAGCUACCCCGGGGAUAACAGGCUUGUCACAGGCAAGAGUACACAUCGACCCUGUGGCUUGGUACCUCGCCGUCGGCCCUUUCCAUCCUGGGUGUGCAGAAGCACCCAAGGGUUGGGUUGUUCAUCCAUCAAAGGAGAACGCGAGCUGGGUUUAGAACGUCGCGAGACAGUUUGGCGGUACCUACUGGGAGUGCUGAUAAUCUGAGGGGAAAGUUCAUUUAGUACGAAAGGAACGAUGAACUGUAGCCUCUAGUGUAUCAGUUAUUCUCAAGAGUAAGCUGAGUAGCCACGCUAUGAAUGAUAAAGGCUGAACGCAUCUAAGCCUGA
rnacentral:rRNA from 1 species